rnacentral:lncRNA from 1 species
GUGAGCCAGCCAGGAGUGAAGACGACAGGUUUGCUGUCUCCUUUGCCUGUGGGUCUGGGGCCCCAGCCUGGGGGAGACCCGUGACUCCAGGCAUGCUAUCAGGACAACUUCAACCCGAGGGGAGAUCAGCUCUCCCGCAACCUGGUGCCGCUCUCUGACAGCACAACAGAACCUAAGGGGCUACAGGAUGAUUCAAGGAACAGUGUGCUACAGGACCUCGGUAUUCCUGCUGAGAGUCAUUUCCUGUGCUGGAUUUACCAUCACAGGGACCAGAUUUAUAGAAAAAUGAACAUGUAUUGUUGCUAAAUGGAGUUGGUCAUGGAGUGGAAACUAACAAUAUGUUCACCUCAAGAAGACCCUCACCAGAUGCAGCCCCUCUAUGUUGGACUUCCCAGCCUCCGGAAGUUAGAAAUGUGCUACAACCACUCAAGGUCUGCAAACAGAUUCCUAUUUAGAUGUUGUUGAGAGCUGAAUUUCUGGAACAAGAGAUAUAGAUUAAGACUGUUGUUACAUGUUGCCUACAUGACUUUCAAAAGCUUGAUUCCCAGUGGCGCUCUCAACAGCAGUCAUAAACAAUGAUAGGAGAAAUGGCUACCUUUAUUUUGUUAAACUGGAGAUUGGCAGCUAUGACUGAGGACUUGCAAAAGCGGAAACAGGGACUUCUCAGUGAGGUCAAUAUUUGGAGGAAAUAUGUAUAGAAACUGAAGAUCUGUCUGAGUUUACCCCUGAGGUACAUUAUAGCAUACAUGAGUUUGAAUAUUUAUUCUUUAAUGUACAUAUUUGGUUAUGGAGUUGUUUAAGCAUCAGCUGUUUGGAAAUUCUGCUUUGCCAAGAUAUUUCUAACUUGCUUUUUAGAACAGUUGUAACAUUUUACAUUUCCAUAGCUCCCUUGGCUUCACAUGAUUGAGUAAUACUUUAAAUCAGAUUGUAAAUGUAUUACGCAGUGGUUUUAAUUUCCUGAUUAGUAAUGAGAUUGUAACUGAACUCAGGUUCAGUUGUUUGCCAAUUGAAAGCCAAAACUUGAGAGGCAAGCGUUGGUGGAAGAGAAAAGCAGGUUUAUUCAGGACCUGACAAUCCAAGGAGAUGGUGGACUUGCAUAGCAAAGACCAUCUCAAGUUUCUCAGCCUGGACAUAGGGGUUUUAAAGGGGAAAGGGCUUGGGAAACUAUGUGCAGGAGUUAGCUAUGCAUUUCAGAAUGUCUUUUUCCAACGACUGUCAUGAGGAAUGGGCAUCAAGAGGUGUAGCUGGCAUCAUCCAACCUCUAAUAAGAUUGAAGAUUAACUGCUCAGUAUUUUUUUUCCAUUAAGAACAUUUCACAGCCUUGGUUUUAUCUUGGGGUUAGUUCUUGGAAUUCUUAAGCAAGCACACAAUUAGGUAUCGUAAAAGAAAGAAUAGUUAUUUGUUUCCAAAAUGGAAUGACUGCAUCAGUUACAAGAUGAUCACCUUUAUAUGUUAUUGCUAUUCAGAUUUUCUCUUCCAUAAAAUACUUGUUUGCAUCUUUUGCCUGCAGUUUAAUUGGGUGGUUUGACAUUUUGGUUUAUAUGAAUUUCUUAAUAUGUUAUGGACAUUAAUCCUACACUGGUUUUUUAUGUUGCAAAGAUCUGCUCUCAGCGUGAAAAUUCUUUUUAUGGCGUCUUUUGAUGAUGAAAAGUCCACAAUUCAAAAUAGAUUAACUUAUCAAUACUUACUAGUUUCUUUUACUUAAGUAUGUUAUUUCUCUUAAAAAUUAUCUAUAUAUCAGAAAAAUACCUCCAUUUAUAUUCCUGAAAAAAUUAUUUAAAUUUGCCUUUCAUAUUUAAGUCUCUGAUAUACUGGAAAUUAACUUUUGCAUAUGUCAUGACGGAUACACUAUUUUGCUUGCUUUAUAGUUUCCGGAUAAAUACUUAUCUCAGGGCCACUGACUGACUAGUCUAUACUUUUACCUCUAUACAAUAUCUGGUGUUCAUAUUUUUGCAGGUCUAUUUCUUGACUCUCUAACGUGUUUUUAGCUUUCAAUCCUUGCACUCACACCAUGCAGUGUUAAUUGCAAUUGUUUGAUAGUAAAUUUUAAUCACUGCUAUAGCAAAUUUUCGUAUCUUAUUUCUUCUGGGUUAUACUUGGCUCUUUGGCCUUUGGUUCCUUGACUGUACUUCCAUUUAAAAUUUCAGGAUUGACUUCAGUUAAAAAUAAUCUGUAAGAAUUGUUCAAAUUUAAGCUUGAAUUACCAGAAAUAUUUCACUUUUUGCAUUAAAUGCAUCUCAU